rnacentral:rRNA from 1 species
UACGUAGGGCGCAAGCGUUGUCCGGAAUUAUUGGGCGUAAAGAGCUCGUAGGCGGUCUGUUACGUCCGCUGUGAAAACCCAGGGCUUAACCCUGGGCUUGCAGUGGAUACGGGCAGACUAGAGGCAGGUAGGGGAGAAUGGAAUUCCCGGUGUAGCGGUGAAAUGCGCAGAUAUCAGGAGGAACACCGGUGGCGAAGGCGGGUCUCUGGGCCGAUACUGACGCUGAGGCGCGAAAGCUAGGGGAGCGAACGGG